UACGUAGGCAGCAAGCGUUGUUCGGAGUUACUGGGCGUAAAGAGUGUGUAGGCGGUGCUCUAAGUUUGGGGGGAAAUCUCCCGGCUUAACUGGGAGGGUGCGCCGAAAACUGGAGUGCUUGAGUAUGGGAGAGGCAAGCGGAAUUCCUGGUGUAGCGGUGAAAUGCGUAGAUAUCAGGAGGAACACCUGUGGUGUAGACAGCUUGCUGGACCAUCACUGACGCUGAGGCACGAAAGCGUGGGUAGCAAACAGG
rnacentral:rRNA from 1 species